CGAACUGACGAACCGUUCCUGUGCGAGGCAACCAUUCAUGUGCGGAGGCGGGAGCGACGGCGCUUGGUGCAGCCCGUGCUCCGCGUCGCCGUCGUGGCCCGCGGCCAAGGGUUGCCGUCGCGGCCCGCAGCCGAGCUCCACCUCGUCGUUGCGGCCAGCGAUCGUGCUCCUCCUCGGCGGUGCAGCUUGUAUUCCGCCUCGACCCCGAUGUUGCAUCGCCGCUGUACCAUGCGCUCCGUCUCACCGUCGCCACAUACCCAGGGGCAAAAAGGUCUGGGCCCACAUGCUGUCAAACGAAGCGCGAGCAAGCUGCUAUGCUAUUUUCAGCUUCACCAUGCGCUACCUGCUUGUCUCACCAGUUUUUCCAGAGUGGCUUUUGCUCGAACCCAUUUGGCUAAAACAGCUCAUGAAUCGGUUCAAUAAGCUGUACCGAACAGCCCCUUUGUAUUUGUACCUGCUUGUAUUUUAUCUUAAUUUUUUAAUAUAUAAUAAUAUAAUACCGUAGGUAUUAUGUUUUUCCUCU